GCGCUGCCUGUUUGAUGCUUCCACCAUGUGAAGAAGCUGGGAGUGGCUUCCUUUAAGAUGGGAGACCAUACGGAAAGGGGUUCUGCUGACAGCCAGCACCAAUCCGCUGGACAUGGGACUGAGGUCAUCUCAUACCAUUACGUCUCGGUUAACUGCCAGGUGACUGCAGCCAUAUGAAUAACCACAGCUCCUAUACCUUUUAUUUCUUUUUCAAAAAGAUCGUCCUUGACUUACUUCACUGGCUGAACUCCCGUGUAACGGUGAAAGAAGUGGUGAUAAUGGCAGAUGAAUAAAAAAAUGCAAAGCAAAGAGGAAUCGUAUACUGCUUCCCAAAGGUGUACCACCGGAUACUCCAGGAUUCCAGAAGACCCUCUGAAUGGCUCCUUUAAUUCACAGAGAUAACUCAAGACAAUAAGUAAUACUUUGAAAAAGUACAACUGAAACACAAGCCUUAGCUUCCUAGCUCAGGCUGAGAUGUGGAAAGGGAGCCUAUCAGACACCAAGGGACUACCUAUUUUUACAAACAGACUCAAAAAAUACCAUCUUUGGACCAAUUCCCAGACACAGACAUAGAACAUUCAACAUUACCUGAUUCUGCUUGAUCGUAGCCAAAGAAACUUAGCAGCUUGAGGAGCAGUUUCUCCUCAAUUUGCACUGUGAAUCUCUGAGCUGUGACCAUCAGAUGCUAGAGAUAAAGAAAUUCUGAUUUAAAGUGUGAACACCAGAAGGAACAUUCAUCUGUGCUAUUAAGAAGGCCUCAAUGACAUGGUAUGCUUUCAUUAAUC